GCUAACCAGACAAACCUUGACCUCUCCUUCGUCUGAGCAUAAGCUUUUUUCUCCUGGGCUUUUCCAGUCCAGAGCCAAUGAUUCCCACACCACUCUCCGGCUCUUCUUCUCUUUGUAAUCUGCUCCGUCUGCCCGUCCUGUAUGAUGUCAGCACCUGCAGAAACUCCUAACGCAGGUGUCCCAGCAUUCCAUGAGAUGGCAUUAUUUUCAUGGUUUCUUAUAAUCCAAAUACCAGCCAUAAAUACCAUUUGUCUCUGGAGUUGCAGGAAAAUUAUGUCACAAUGAUGCUGAUUGGCCAAUGACACCACAAGAACACUCACAGAGUUCCCUUGACGACAAUUCUGAGCUAUGACAUCAAAGGUUUUGUGAGGCCAGACUGUGGUCACCACGCAGCUGGAUUGUGCCUGAGAACUGAGAUUCACUGGAGAUUUCAUAAAAAUAUAUUCUGUUCCUAAUUUAUCUCUUCUGAGCACAUCUGACUCACAUAAAGCAUUAAACUAAACCAAAGGUUUUGCUCUCAUCAUAAAUGCCAAUUCAAGUCAUUGUUUUCAACUUUUUGAGUAUAGCAUACCAGUUAAAGAUAGAUAGACUGACAGACAGACAGACAGACAGACUGAUUGACUGACUGAUUGAUUGAUUGAUUGAUUGAUUUGACAUUAACAUUCGCCAACCCGCCAAAUGCGGGUUGAUUUCAGCAGUGGCGUGUAAUGCAGUCACUUUUUGGAGGGUUGAAUUUUAUUAAAUAACAUAAUUUUUUUUUUCAGUUGGUCUUUUAAAAAGGCAUCUGAAAUAAUAAACUUAAGUGCAAUGUAAUGUUGUCAAAAAUAGAUCUUUUCUAAAAAUAGAUACUCAUUUCCUGCAGAUUAAUUACACCAUACCAGCUGCGCUUUCUCGCUCUCUCAUCUCUCCGACACUGAGUUGACACAAACCAGAAGCGCCGUUGUGUCCUGUGGGCCAAGGCUCAUUUAAAAUGGACUCUUUCAAAGUGGAAAAGUGUUCUAUGUUCAGAUGAGUCCAAAUUUGACAUUCUUGUUGGAAAUCACGGACUCCAUGUCCUCCAGGCUAAAGAAGAAGCAGACCUUCCAUCGUGUUAUCAGCUUUCAGUUCAAAAGCCAGCAUCUCUGAUGGUAUGGGGGUGCAUAAGUGCAUACGGUAUGGGCAGCUUGCAUGUUUUGGAAGGCACUAUGAAUGCUGAAAGGUAUAUAAAGGUUUUAGAGCAACAUAUGCUCUCUUCCAGAUGACGUCUUUUUCAGGGAAAGCCUUGUGUAUUUCAGCAGGACAAUGCAAAACCAUAUACUGCAGCUAUUACAACAGCAUGGCUUCGUCGUAGAAGAGUCCGGGUGCUGAAUUGCCUGCAGUCCAGAUCUUUCACCUAUAGAGAACGUUUGGCGCAUCGUUAAACCACGAACUCUUCAGCAGCUGGAAACCUAUAUCAGGCAAGAAUGGGACCAAAUUCUGACACCAAAACUCCAGAAACUCAUAACCUCGAUGCCCAGACGUCUUCAAACUGUUUUGAAAAGAAGAGGAGAAGCUACACCAUGUGUGAAGCUGUUCAACCAUCUUGUGAAAACUUUGAAUCUAAAAUACAUCCAGGUGUGAAGGGAUGAUGUGAACUGCAGACGAGAGUCCCUUCGCAUGUCCCAUUCACAUCUGCAUGACUGGAAAUAUGUAAUCAACUGCUUCGAUAAACUCCAGUUACCCCCUGCGCCCACCACGCGGACCCAGCGUGCACAAACACACGGUUUUGUGCAGUAAUUGAAUCACGUGUGUUGGGACAGCUGGUUGGUAAGGCAAUAGUGAGACACUUAUUGAUGUCAGAGGUUCUGAUACACACCAGCAGGCACCCAGAACGUGGCUCAACAACACUGUUUAACCUCAUUUCACCUGUGAUCACGUUUAUGAUCAGUUUUUCCGUGGCUGAUUUAAUCGGUAUACGCGACCUUAAGAUCUCUAAAUGUUUUUGAAAGAAACCUCUUUUGCUCACCAAGGCUGCUUUGAUUUGAUUAAAAAGUAAAAACAGUAAUUUUGUGAAAUAAAUAUUAUUACAAUUUAAAAUGAUUAUUUUCUAUUUGAAAAUAUUUCAAAAUGUAAUUGAUGGCAAAGCUGAAUUUUCAGCAUCAUUACUCCAGUCUUCAGUGUCACAUGAUCCUUCAGAAAUCAUUCUAAUAUGCUGAUUUGGUGAAACAUUUCUUAUUAUUAUCAGUGUUGAAAACAGUUGUGCUGCUUAAUAUUUUUUGAGGAAACUGUGAUGCAUUAUUUUCAGGAUUCUUUGAUGAAUAGGUUAACACUGAUCACCAUAACGGUGAUGUCAACAACCUUUGUACAUGUACCAAAAAAUAAAGCCAAACUGGUUUGUAAUAAGUGAAUUUGACUUGUUUAAUCAUCCUCUGGUGAGAUACUGAUUUUAUUUGCAGAUGAUUUCAUCUAAGGCUGUGUGGCUGUAAGUCAGUUGUUGUAGUUUUGGUGUUUCUGCUCAUCUCCUCUUUUUUUUGUGUUCUUGUUGUUCCUCUUAUCUUCAGUGAUUAUGCUUGUUAACAGCAGGUGUUCAUCACUAAUGCUCAAUAAUCACUUUGUAGAGUGAAUCUACUUUAUUUCACUAACUGCAACGUUGCUUCAGUGUUACUUUUACUCUCUAUAGAUUGGGACCAUAU